rnacentral:rRNA from 1 species
UACGUAGGGGGCUAGCGUUGUCCGGAAUCAUUGGGCGUAAAGCGCGUGUAGGCGGUCCGGUAAGUCCGCUGUGAAAGUCGGGGGCUCAACCCUCGAAUGCCGGUGGAUACUGUCGGGCUAGAGUGCGGAAGAGGCGAGUGGAAUUCCUGGUGUAGCGGUGAAAUGCGCAGAUAUCAGGAGGAACACCAAUGGCGAAGGCAGCACUCUGGGACGUGACUGACGCUGAGACGCGAAAGCGUGGGGAGCGAACAGG